GACGAACGCUGGCGGCGUGCCUAAUACAUGCAAGUAGGACGCACAGUUUAUACCGUAGCUUGCUACACCAUAGACUGUGAGUUCGAACGGGUGAGUAACGCGUAGGUAACCUGCCUAUUAGAGGGGGAUAACUAUUGGAAACGAUAGCUAAUACCGCAUAACAGUAUGUAACACAUGUUAGAUGCUUGAAAGAUGCAAUUGCAUCGCUAGUAGAUGGACCUGCGUUGUAUUAGCUAGUAGGUAGGGUAAUGGCCUACCUAGGCGACGAUACAUAGCCGACCUGAGAGGGUGAUCGGCCACACUGGGACUGAGACACGGCCCAGACUCCUACGGGAGGCAGCAGUAGGGAAUCUUCGGCAAUGGGGGGAACCCUGACCGAGCAACGCCGCGUGAGUGAAGAAGGUUUUCGGAUCGUAAAGCUCUGUUGUUAAGGAAGAACGAGUGUGAGAAUGGAAAGUCAUACUGGGACGG
rnacentral:rRNA from 1 species